AGUGAACGCUGGCGGUAGGCCUAACACAUGCAAGUCGAACGGCAGCACAGUAAGAGCUUGCUCUUACGGGUGGCGAGUGGCGGACGGGUGAGGAAUACAUCGGAAUCUACUUUUUCGUGGGGGAUAACGUAGGGAAACUUACGCUAAUACCGCAUACGACCUACGGGUGAAAGCAGGGGAUCUUCGGACCUUGCGCGAUUGAAUGAGCCGAUGUCGGAUUAGCUAGUUGGCGGGGUAAAGGCCCACCAAGGCGACGAUCCGUAGCUGGUCUGAGAGGAUGAUCAGCCACAAUGGAACUGAGACACGGUCCAGACUCCUACGGGAGGCAGCAGUGGGGAAUAUUGGACAAUGGGCGCAAGCCUGAUCCAGCCAUACCGCGUGGGUGAAGAAGGCCUUCGGGUUGUAAAGCCCUUUUGUUGGGAAAGAAAAGCAGCAGGUUAAUACCCCGCUGUUCUGACGGUACACAAAGAAUAAGCACCGGCUAACUUCGUG
rnacentral:rRNA from 1 species